rnacentral:rRNA from 1 species
UACGUAGGGGGCAAGCGUUGUCCGGAAUCAUUGGGCGUAAAGCGCGCGUAGGCGGCCCUGUAAGUCCGCUGUAAAAGUCAAAGGCUCAACCUUUGAAAGCCGGUGGAUACUGCAGGGCUAGAGUCCGGAAGAGGCGAGUGGAAUUCCUGGUGUAGCGGUGAAAUGCGCAGAUAUCAGGAAGAACACCCGUGGCGAAGGCGGUUCUCUGGGACGGUACUGACGCUGAGACGCGAAAGCGUGGGGAGCGAACAGG